rnacentral:rRNA from 1 species
AUUGAACGCUGGCGGCAUGCCUUACACAUGCAAGUCGAACGGUAACAGGUCUUCGGAUGCUGACGAGUGGCGAACGGGUGAGUAAUACAUCGGAACGUGCCCGAUCGUGGGGGAUAACGAGGCGAAAGCUUUGCUAAUACCGCAUACGAUCUACGGAUGAAAGCGGGGGAUCUUCGGACCUCGCGCGGACGGAGCGGCCGAUGGCAGAUUAGGUAGUUGGUGGGAUAAAAGCUUACCAAGCCGACGAUCUGUAGCUGGUCUGAGAGGAUGAUCAGCCACACUGGGACUGAGACACGGCCCAGACUCCUACGGGAGGCAGCAGUGGGGAAUUUUGGACAAUGGGCGAAAGCCUGAUCCAGCCAUGCCGCGUGCAGGAUGAAGGCCUUCGGGUUGUAAACUGCUUUUGUACGGAACGAAAAGCCUCUUGCUAAUAAAGAGGGGUCAUGACGGUACCGUAAGAAUAAGCACCGGCUAACUACGUG